UUGAAGUUUCUUCUUUUUAUGUUUGGUUUAAUUUCUUGUCAUAAUUUAUCCUAUGGUUUCAUCUCAACUUCACCAACCAACUUUUCCCAAUAAAUUUUGAGGGAUUUUUGAAAUCCAACAACAUCAUUGUCAGAUCGAGUGUUCAUGUUUUUGAAGCUCUCAUAAAAUAUCAUGUGUUCUUAUUUUUUGUACCAUUCAAGAUGCAUAUCUUCGUUUCAUUCAAUUUCUUUGAUGGAUCAAAUGAUAAAAUUCUAGGGAUACAAAGGCAAAGAAAGAUUUAAAAAAGAAGUUGAAGGAUACUUAUGAAGGGACAAACAAAUAUAUGGCUAUGGAGGAAGGUGAUUAUGUGGCAAUUAAGGGUGCUACUUUUGGUGAUGAAUUCGAAGAUGCCUUAGAUGCCAUUGCAUUGAUGUCAAAAGAUCCCAAAAAUUAUUUCGUAAGAUCCUAUAUUAAUUAA